ensembl:snRNA U6 U6 spliceosomal RNA
UGGCAUCUUGCUUUGCCAGUGAACUAAAAUUGGAAUGACACAGAGAAGAUUAGCAUGGCCACCACUGCAAGUUCACUGGCAAAACCAGGUGCAUUUAAGGUAGUUA